UUGCCCGGGGAUGGGUCCCUGACACUUGGCGAAGUAGGAGCCCUGUGUGAUCGUGCGUCUGAGUCUGGGCUGAGACCAGUCCUGGCCAGGGCAGUUACCAGGACGGUCUCCGGAGGCCGGGAUUCGCGGAGGGUCCACCAGCAGGAAGAAACCCCAAGAGGAAGAAACCUCAGACAGAUCGCCGGCGAGGCAGCGCGGGAUCCCAGCCUCAGGCGUGCGCGGACGGUGUGCGGGUGGAAACCCCCUUCCCAUGGGGUGAAGCGCAGUCUGCUCCAGAGACCCACUGUUAGGGUCGGGGAUGUCACAGAAAUUAACAGGGCAGCCAAUUCCCAUCCAGAGGGGCCCAGGAUGACCCCGAACCCUCUAGCUCAGCCCCAAGCUCGGGCCAGGGAGUGAAGCCUUUGUCCCCAAGCAACAGAGUGAGGGUCUGUCUCUAACCCGGUGGGCUCCAGUGAAAGGAAAAUGGCCUGGAGGUGCCCACAGGAGGGCGCCCUAGUUCUGAGACAGGUCUACGGCUCCCAGACUGUGUCCCCAUGAGUAACAGAGGGACACGCAGAGGGGCAUACUGAGUGCCUAUAGGGGACUCACAGACUGCAGAUGCACGCUGCGGAUCCAGAAGCCGGUCAGCGCACACAACCAAGCUUAGGAGCCGACUGUUAAGAUGCCCCAGUGACACGGACAAGUUUCUCCUCUGCAACCCAAUGAGAGCUGCUGACCACGAGAGCAUCGCGGGACCGCCAAAGGAUUCUGGAAAAUGUGGUCCCGGGUGGCCAGUGUGCGCUGACCUUCACCUGAAGGUACGGCUUGAAGGAA
rnacentral:lncRNA from 1 species